rnacentral:rRNA from 1 species
AGUCACUGACAUUAGAUACCCCCGUAGUCCAGGGUGUAAACGCUGCAGACUUGGUGUUGGAAGCCCUUUGGGGGCAUUCAGUGCCGGAGAGAAGUUGUUAAGUCUGCUACUUGGGGAGUACGUCCGCAAGGAUGAAACUUAAAGGAAUUGGCGGGGGAGCACCGCAACGGGAGGAGCGUGCGGUUUAAUUGGAUUCAACACCGUAAAACUCACCAGGGAAGACUGUUACAUGAAGGCCGAGAUGAAGACUCUGCUAGAUUUUUCAG